GACGAACGCUGGCGGCGUGCUUAACACAUGCAAGUCGAACGGAAAGGCCCUGCUUUUGUGGGGUGCUCGAGUGGCGAACGGGUGAGUAACACGUGAGUAACCUGCCCUUGACUUUGGGAUAACUUCAGGAAACUGGGGCUAAUACCGGAUAGGAGCUCCUGCUGCAUGGUGGGGGUUGGAAAGUUUCGGCGGUUGGGGAUGGACUCGCGGCUUAUCAGCUUGUUGGUGGGGUAGUGGCUUACCAAGGCUUUGACGGGUAGCCGGCCUGAGAGGGUGACCGGGCACAUGGGGACUGAGAGACGGACCAGACGCCUACGGGAGGCAGCAGUGGGGAAUAUGACACAAUGGGCGGAAGCCUGAUGCAGCAACGCCGCGUGCGGGAUGACGGCCUUCGGGUUGAAAACCGCUUUCGCCUGUGACGAAGCGGGAGUGACGGUAAUGGGUAAAGAAGCACCGGCUAACUACGUG
rnacentral:rRNA from 1 species